UACGUAGGGUGCGAGCGUUGUCCGGAAUUAUUGGGCGUAAAGAGCUCGUAGGCGGUUUGUCGCGUCGGCCGUGAAAACUUGGGGCUUAACUCCAAGCUUGCGGUCGAUACGGGCAGACUUGAGUUCGGCAGGGGAGACUGGAAUUCCUGGUGUAGCGGUGAAAUGCGCAGAUAUCAGGAGGAACACCGGUGGCGAAGGCGGGUCUCUGGGCCGACACUGACGCUGAGACGCGAAAGCGUGGGGAGCGAACAGG
rnacentral:rRNA from 1 species